rnacentral:rRNA from 1 species
GGAUGAACGCUAGCUACAGGCUUAACACAUGCAAGUCGAGGGGCAGCAUAUUUAUAGCAAUAUAAAUGAUGGCGACCGGCGCACGGGUGAGUAACUCGUAUCCAACCUCCCUUUUACUCGGGGAUAGCCUUUCGAAAGAAAGAUUAAUACCCGAUAGUAUAUGGUUUUCUCAUGAAGAUCCUAUUAAAGAAUUUCGGUAAAAGAUGGGGAUGCGUUCCAUUAGGCAGUUGGCGGGGUAACGGCCCACCAAACCUACGAUGGAUAGGGGUUCUGAGAGGAAGGUCCCCCACAUUGGAACUGAGACACGGUCCAAACUCCUACGGGAGGCAGCAGUGAGGAAUAUUGGUCAAUGGGCGAGAGCCUGAACCAGCCAAGU